UACGGAGGGUGCGAGCGUUGUCCGGAUUUAUUGGGUUUAAAGGGUGCGUAGGUGGCUUGUUAAGUCAGUGGUGAAAUACAGCCGCUCAACGGUUGAGGUGCCAUUGAUACUGACAAGCUUGAAACAAGUGGAGGUUGCCGGAAUGGAUGGUGUAGCGGUGAAAUGCAUAGAUAUCAUCCAGAACACCGAUUGCGAAGGCAGGUGACUACGUUUGAUUUGACACUGAGGCACGAAAGCAUGGGGAGCAAACAG
rnacentral:rRNA from 1 species